GUCCACGCCGUAAACGAUGAAUGCUAGCCGUCGGUGAGCUUGCUCUUCGGUGGCGCAGCUAACGCAAUAAGCAUUCCGCCUGGGGAGUACGGUCGCAAGACUAAAACUCAAAGGAAUUGACGGGGGCCCGCACAAGCGGUGGAGCAUGUGGUUCAAUUCGACGCAACGCGAAGAACCUUACCAGGCCUUGACAUCCCGAUCGCUGCCCCUUGAAAGAGGGGCUUUCAGUUCGGCUGGAUCGGUGACAGGUGCUGCAUGGCUGUCGU
rnacentral:rRNA from 1 species